AGUGAACGCUGGCGGUAGGCCUAACACAUGCAAGUCGAACGGCAGCACAGUAAGAGCUUGCUCUUACGGGUGGCGAGUGGCGGACGGGGGAGGAAUACAUCGGAAUCUACUUUUUCGUGGGGGAUAACGUAGGGAAACUUACGCUAAUACCGCAUACGACCUACGGGUGAAAGCAGGGGAUCUUCGGACCUUGCGCGAUUGAAUGAGCCGAUGUCGGAUUAGCUAGUUGGCGGGGUAAAGGCCCACCAAGGCGACGAUCCGUAGCUGGUCUGAGAGGAUGAUCAGCCACACUGGAACUGAGACACGGUCCAGACUCCUACGGGAGGCAGCAGUGGGGAAUAUUGGACAAUGGGCGCAAGCCUGAUCCAGCCAUACCGCGUGGGUGAAGAAGGCCUUCGGGUUGUAAAGCCCUUUUGUUGGGAAAGAAAAGCAGCACGUUAAUACCCCGCUGUUCUGACGGUACCCAAAGAAUAAGCACCGGCUAACUUCGUG
rnacentral:rRNA from 1 species